rnacentral:lncRNA from 1 species
UCGCGGGCGGCGCCGCGUUCCCGCCCUACCGGCUGGGCUUCGGCGGCGCGGCCGCGGGGCUGGAGCGCGGCGCCUACGAGCCCUUCGACGUGGCGGGCAAGUUCGGCGGCGCGGCGCGCUUCUCGUACACCUCGCAGCACUCGGACUACGGGCAGCGCUUCCAGCAGCGCAUGCAGACGCACGUUUAGGGCGGGGAGGGCUCCGCGGGUACCUCACGAGCGUCCCCCUGAUAUUCAGGGGUUCGCCCCGAUUUCCCCCCCCGGCCUCUCCUCGGAGCUUCCGUUCGUCGCCCCGGUUCUCUCGCCGGUACGUUCCCGUCCCCGCGGGCGCGGGCAGGGGUCGGCGCCGCGCUCCUCGUGCCCCUUGCGGCCCCGGCGCCGUUCCCGGAGCUUUCCCAGGGAGCAGCUCUGUGCCAGAUCCAGAGGGGCGCGUGAACCCCAAAACCAGCCCCAACCCAAACCGUUCCCACUGGGAUCCGUGUGUUCCCAGAUCCAGAGGGGCGCGUGAGCCCCAAAACCAGCCCAACCCGAACCACUCCCACUGGGAUCCGUGUGUUCCCAGAUCCAGAGGGGCACGUGAACCCCAAAACCAGCCCAACCCAAACCAUUCCCACUGGGAUCCGUGUGUUCCCAAAUCCAGAGGGGCACGUGAACCCCAGAACCAGCCCAACCCGAACCAUUCCCGUUGGGAUCCGUGUGUUCCCAGAUCCAGAGGGGAGACACAAAUCCCAAAAAAACCCAACCCGAAGCAUUCCCACUGGGAUCCGUGUGUUCCCAGAUCCAGAGGGGCACAUGAACCCCAAUACCAGCCCCAACCCGAACCAUUCCCGUUGGGAUCCGUGUGUUCCCAGAUCCAGAGGGGCACAUGAACCCCAAAACCAGCCCAACCCAAACCAUUCCCAUUGGGAUCCGUGUGUUCCCAGAUCCAGAGGGGCGCGUGAACCCCAAACCCAGCCCCAUCCCGAACCAUUCCCGUUGGGAUCCACGUGUUCCCAGAUCCACAGGGGAGACACAAAUCCCAAAAAAACCCAUCUCAAAUCAUUCCCAUUCCUCAAAGCAUUCCCACUGGGAUCAGCAUGCUCCCAAAUCCAGAGGGAUGUGCAAAUCCCAGAACCAGCCCCAUCCCAAACCAUUCCCAUUGGGAUCCGUGUGUUCCCAAAUCCAGAGGGAUGUGCAAAUCCCAGAACCAGCCCCAUCCCAAACCAUUCCCGUUGGGAUCCACGCGUUCCCAAAUCCCGAGGGAUGCUCCAAUCCCAGAUCCAGCCGCCUCCCGCACCAUUCCCAUUGGGAUCCGUGUGUUCCCAGAUCCACAGGGGAGACACAAAUCCCAAAAAAUCCCAACCCGAACCAUUCCCAUUGGGACCCGUGCAUUCCCAAAUCCCGAGGGAUGCGCCAAUCCCAGAACCAGCCGCAUCCCGAACCAUUCCCAUUGGGAUCCGUGUGUUCCCAAAUCCAGAGGGGCACACCAAUCCCCAAAAAACCCAUCCCGCACCAUUCCCAUUCCCUGUGCCUUGAUUUUGGGGCCGCCCCUGGCUCAGGGCCGGCUCCCCCCGUUUCCCCUCGGCGCCGGGAAUUUGGGGUUUUCGGGAGCCGCCCCGCACGCACAGCGAUCCCCCGGGAGAGGCAGCGCGGGAUCCCAGAGCUGGGAUCGGGGUCCCCCCUGAACCCCCGCGUUCCCGGGAAUUCCGGGAAUUCCGACCGAAACUUUGGGAUCGGGAGCUCGGCCCUGCCCCGAAUCCCAGUUCCGGGCACCGGGGGGAACCGGGGACCCCAGCGUGGCGUGGGGGAAUUUGGGGGAUGAGUUUUGGAGGGAAUUCCCAGCCCCAAUUCCCAAAUUCCCAAAGGGGUCCCAGUUUGGGAUGGGGGAAUUUUUGGGGGAUGAAUUUUUGGGGGAAUUCCCAGAGGAUUCCCAGCCCCAAUUCGGCAUGGGGGAAUCUGGGGAGGAACAAUUUUGGGGGGAUGAAUUUUGGAGGGAAUUCCCAGCCCCAAUUCCCAAAUUCCUGAAGGGGUCCCAAUUCGGGAUGGGGGAAUUUGGGGAGGAUGAGUUUUGGGGGGAUGAAUUCCUGGCUGAUUCCCAAAAACCCCUCAAGGAUUUGGUACGAGACCCCUGCCCACCCCUCCGGGGGCUGCCUCGGGAUCAGGAUCUUCCCCAAAAUCCCCCAAAUCCCCAAAUUCCCGAAUUCCCAGUGGCCAAUCCCGGUACGAGCCGUGGGAUCUCAUUUCCCUCUGCCGAAACUCCCCAAAACCAACACAGAAGGUCCCGAAAGGCCCAAAGGUGCCUGAAUUCACCCCAAAAGCCCCGAGGGGGGAGGGAAUUCCCGCUCCAGGUGCUGCACCCCAAAUUCCAGAGCAAUAUCCCGCGGGAAAAGGGGGAGCCCCGCCCGGCCACGGGAAGCUUUAACAUUCCAACCCCACUUUGGGGCUGGAAAAUGGAAUUUCCCCCUUUUGUUUUUUAGCACAGGUUGGUUUAGAGACCCUCCCCCGUCCCUUUCCCCCCAAAAUUCCGCCAUUUCUCCCCGAU